GUUGGGUACUCUAUUGAGACUGCCGCUGACAAGGCGGAGGAAGGUGGGGACGACGUCAAGUCAUCAUGGCCCUUACGACCAGGGCUACACACGUGCUACAAUGGGUAUUACAGAGGGCUGCGAAGGUGCGAGCUGGAGCGAAACUCAGAAAGGUACUCUUAGUCCGGAUUGCAGUCUGCAACUCGACUGCAUGAAGUCGGAAUCGCUAGUAAUCGCAGGUCAGAAUACUGCGGUGAAUAC
rnacentral:rRNA from 1 species